AUAAAAUCUUACCUUCCGCUUCUUAUUUUACUAAACCAAUAUUUUUUUAAAGUUUUGCAAAACUGUUUUAAAAUGUAAUGAAGCCUUUCAAAUCUUUUCCAGAACACAUCCCAUCAUCCUCUUCUUGUCCAAGAAUUUCAGCAAGAAAAAGAAAAUAAGGUUGGAGCUAUUCAUAAGAAGGGAAAGAAGAAAACAAGCCAGGGACGCAAUACAGACCAAGUCAGCCCAGGCUUUAGCUCCCUCCUUGUCGUCUUCGUGUGGGCAUGGCACGAGAGGAGCGUGCUCGUGCUCAACUCAGCCGCUCCACAACGCCUCCUCUCAACCACUCCCCUUCCCAUCCUUCUGAUCCCCACGAAAACCUAGCUCGCAUCCAUCUUCCUUCCCUCUGGCCGCCGCCACUCUCCUUUUCUUCCGCACCUUUUUCUCCUUUCUCUGAGAGCAGCGAAAGAGCACCGCCGCGGCAGUCCACCGUCGCGCCAUCGUUCCAGAGCGUCCGUCGCCAAGACGAGACCACCAUGAGCUGCGCCUCAUCGCCCUCGUCAAUAUCCCCAAACGAAUCGAGUUGGUUCCGCUCCAAUUGAUGUGAAGGUCGCCGUCUUUAUCUCUGACCGCUGCGCUCCAGCGAAGUUUCCGGCCGCCUCCGACCUCAUCCGCCCCAGCCGAGGUGUUCAUCAGCUUCCUGGUUAUCUUCGCCAUGGACGCCGGCUGCGCGAGUUCCUUUACCCCUUGGUUCUUUUCGUCUUCGCCAAGAUCCUCGCGCCAGGAGCUUCUUCAAGGUUGUUUUCGUCUUCACGUGUGAAGCACACGGAACCAGAGCGCGGGAAUGUUCCCAACUUCCUUGGCCGCGACGCGUGUCCAGUACACGAACGCCCUGUGCUUUCUUCCUCUUCCGGCGUCGUCUUCGUCCCAGAGCACGUAUGGCUUCACCAUCAAGCCCGUGCAUUUGCGUCUUCCCGGAUAGGAUCGCGAAGUGGUGUUGUGAGAUACGACGAGUUCUCCGGAUGUUCCUCGGCAACCUUUAACAGGCAAG